CCUUUAUCAGUCGGUGGCCAGCGGGACGCCAGCAGACUUCACAGUGGUCCGAAAGAAGACCGGUCAACUGGAGCACCUCGCUGUCGCUUAGAGAGGAGCGUGAAGGUACAAGCCUGGAGCGCAUACAGGCUGCGUCACGUUCUAUACGUCAUCUUGAAGACAUCUGGCGGCGGCUGAACCGAAUCAUCGAAUGAUAUGGCAGAUGCACAUCACGAGGCUCCGCGGUACGAUCAGUUCGUCGAUCGUCACCUCGUGGUUCCCUGGUACGCAACUGUACCAACGACACACCAAAAGACCACGCCCUCUUCUAGCAAAGCUGUCACCACCUGGUGUCAGGCCACGAGCAAGUGUACCGUGACGAGUGCCACGGCUGUAACGACAUACCAUGUCAUCUCAUAUGGUGACGGAGGAAGUCCAACGUGGCACAUAAGGUCCUAGCAUACAGGUUCUAGUGUCAGGGAGUGACGGUACGCCCUGUUCGAAAAUGGCCAACUACUCCUUACACCACCCGGAAUCUGACGCUACAUCCUUGACGCACCCCGCAACAACCUACCAGACUCAUUCCGUAGCAACGUCGUCUUGUGGGAGCACGACACGAACAGGUCCAGAGGUUUCUCCCUCCAAUCAGGUCAGUUGCCACCCUGUCAUUCCAUGCCUGGUCAGUCUACCGACGAAGGCUAAGGAUAUUACACCUCCAAAUACCGCAGCAGUCACAACUUGGUGCCAAUCCACCUGCCAGCUGACCUCCGUGUCGAGCUCGACACCCGUAAUGACGUGUCGCCUCAUCUUGUGCGAAGACAGAGGGAGAGGGGGAUGGCGCACGAGGUCCUAAGAUUAGGAAAGGUGGCGUCAAGGGUAUCCACAGAGACCUUCAUCCCCAUGGUCAGGCUUCAUUCUGGGUUCUAGCCUGCUGAAUCAGGCUUGUAGCCUAAGCUGCGAUUGCAGAAUGGUGCCGCACCAUACCAUGUGAUACAAAGACGCGAUUGUGAUAUGCAAGACAUCGCACGGUGCUAAUAUAUGUGCUCGCAUAUAGUGACGUGGACACGUGGUGCUUUCUUUACGGUUUCACGUGACACUUAGUGCUGCCGUCAUUGUGACGUCGUGGGAGGCGUGGCCUUCACAUCACCUCGAGUAGUACUUCAAGACUCCGCAAGGGGUCCCGUGAACCGUUCUUCGCUCACCAGUGGAACUUCUAGAAAUGUGAUCUUUACUUUCUCCUCAGGUGGACACUUGAAACUGUUAGCAAAACACUUCAAUCCUGAACGAACGGUUGACAAAGUGAGUCUGAACAUGACGUAAUGGACGAAGGUUCGAGUAUUCGGCUAUCCGCUGAAACUAAUCCCGUGACCUCGGACGCAGCCUUCUCAAUUCCCUCUGAUCCUCAAUGAUUACGGGUACGACCACAUGAGCCUUUCGUUCCAGAUGACAUGUACGAGGGGGGAGCGUAAUGACAUGGAUCGGCUCGCCAUUUUUUUUUGCCACGCAGAACUGACUGGCAAUACUUUGCGCAGAGCGUGCUAUGCUUUAAAGUUCAGUUUUUUCAGAGUGAGCCAAAAGAAUAGACCGGACAUACACCGAGUGAACGACGCGGCAAAAAAAAAAAAAAAAAGCGAAAAAGAGUGGACGAGGAUUGUAACUAGGGAAAUGAACAAGGCAGAGGAAGACGAGAGGUGGCGAACCGGGACGGGUAAAAAUAAGAGUAUGAGCCUGUACAGUGAAAACAAGGAUCAGUGAGCACUUGAAAUGUUCUACAGGGUUGACUACGGGAGAGAACUCCUUUUUCAAGCUCGGACUGGAUCAUUACUAACGAGAAGACGAAGGCGAAAACUAUUUCACGCUGAUAGCUCGGAAUGAAUGUAUACCAUCUGCAACGGCGGGGAAGACGGGGAUCUCCAGCAUAUACCCCAAAGUUCCGUUCUUGGGCCCUCUGCUCUUCCUCACAGCCGUAAAUGAUCUUCCUGAAUCAGUUUCUUCAUAAGAUCUUUCGAGAGAAGCGCAGGUGCCUCCAAGUGAGCGGCGCAAGGCGUCUUGGGAUGUUUGAGAGACACUGUCGUCUGCUUUUUUCGGCGAGACCACGUGGGAUGUUUUUAGCGACGAUUUUACUAUGUGGGCAAUGAAUGUCGCGUACUGUUGACCUCCUUUGAGUGUUUAAGGCAUACAAAGAGCGCAUGGGCCUGCUCUUCAGAACACUCAUUACCUGUUCCGCGUCAGAUACGACCGGCACAUUCUAAAACGAAACGCAAUCGAACGAUCACUUUCACGGAGAUGCAACCAGAGCGACAGUCGACCCAUUAACCCUGCUGGGCGACAUUAAUAACAUUUGCAGCUGGUGUACCACUUGGGGUAUAUCUCUCAAUACUAAUAAAUGUAAAUACAAUGUG